rnacentral:tRNA from 1 species
GGUAAACUUAAUUUAAAGUUUCUAACUUUAAAAAGCAUAUUUUCAUGUUAUUUACCU